UAUCCUCCAAUGCAUUAGUCCUCAAUUUAAUGCGUGAAACUAUGAUCACCUAUGAAGAACUCUAUGAGAAACUUCUUGAUCAUGAGAUCUUUCUUAAGCAUGAAAAAGCCAAACGGACACCACCAAUCACUGUUCCAAUUGCUCAACAAAACAGCCAAGCACCUUCAAGAAACAAUAAUAAUCGAAAGUAAGGAGGUAAUACCUCACAAGGUAGCCAAUCAUCACAUUCCCAGGAAGCUUAAGACUUAUCAAUUACCCGUAAUGGCGCUCUCAUUGAAAUCAGCAGCACCAAAAUCUGAUAGUUUUCUUUGUUAUCAACUCUGUCAUCAUCGCGGUCACUCUACCAAAUUGUGUAAAUCCCAGUCUCACAACCAUUUUCAGGCUCGUGCUAAUUAUGUUGCUUAGUUUUCACAAAAACAAAAUCCAUGGAUUGUUGACUGCUGGGAUAACCAUCACAUCAGAAUUGAUGCUCGCAGUUUACCCACUUAUCAGGACUACAAUGGACCCGACAAGAUCUCAAUGAGAAAUGGCACUACCAUUCCAAUUUUCACACCAUUAACACUCACUUAUGUGCACCAAAUAAAAGCUUGAAACUAAAAGAUACCCUUUAUUCCCCAACAAUAAAAAUAAAUCUUCUCUCUAUCUCUAGAUUUUGUCAUGAGAAUAAAACAUCCAUUGAAUUUUUUCCUUUUAAUUUUCUUGUGAAGGAUCUAACUACGAGGACGCCUCUGGUAUGCAGGCAGAAUAGACAUGGGUUGUACAAGUGACUGCAAGAGACAACACACAUUUUCCAGCCUCAAUUAAAUUUGGUAGUUAGCCGUCUUCCUAUUGAUUGGUGACAUUAAUGAUUGGGGCACCCAAAUUGUCAAAGUUUACAUAAGUUGUUAAGAAAGUUUUCAAUUCCAUUUUGUGAUUCAAAAACUUUCAGUUUGUAAUUCUUGCAAUUCAAACAAAAUGCAAAGGUUACCUUUUUCUGAAAAUACUCUGCAAAGUCAACGACCAUUGCAAAUUAUUUACAUCGAUUUAUGGAGACCUUCCCCCGUGCUGUCAAUUGAUCAAAAGCAUUACUAUGCACUAUCUGUUGAUCACUUUAUAAAAUUUUUGUGGAUAUAUAUUCAGAAAAAUAAAAGUGAAUUUAAAAAUGUUUUUCAAAAUCUAUAUCCAUUACUCGAACAUCGAUUUAACAAAAAAAAACUCUCAUUUUACACUGAUGGUAGCGGUGAAUUUGAAGGAUGAUCUCCCCAUGUAAAAAAACAUGGUAUUGAACAUAUUGUUUCACCUCCUUAUACACCUCAACGUGUAUCUUUAGUGAACGAUGUCAUAGACACAUUGUUGAAACAGCCAGAACCUUAAUUAAUCAAGCCUCCCUUCCCAUAAAAUUUUGGAGUUUUUCUUGCCAUCAAGCAGUUUAUCUUAUCAAUAGGUUACCCUGAGCUACCCUAAAAGAUAGUUGCCCUCAUGAAAUGCUUUUUCAAAGCACCCCAAAAUUUGAUUCGAUAAGAACUUUUGAGUAUUUAUGCUAUCCUUGGCUGCGACCAUACAUUAAAAAUAAGCUUGAGCCUCAUCCAACACCAUGUGUAUUCUUGGGUAUUUCCAACAAAUAUUAUUGUCAUCGGGGAUUUGAUCCAAUUUCUUCAAAAGUAUUAUUUUUCGGGAGAUGUUCUGUUUUUUAGAAUAAUUUUUCUUUUCAAAAUAUUUUCUCUCAUUUAUCAAAUCUCCAAAAUAAAUUGUGGGAAACAAUUGAAAAGAAAAAAAAUCAAAUCACCUGUGAAGCUCAAAAGUUAAACAUGGAACUUUCUCCUGCUAUUGCAUAUGCACCUUGCCACCAAUAUUGCUCAUGCCAAUCACCACAGCCAGACAGAAAUGUCAAAGUUCAGGUAUGAUCUUCAACCCUCUCCAGAAUUCUUUAUCUGAUGAAGCUAUGAUUUUCUUUCCAAAUUAUAGGCAGCCGCUCAAUUCUUUUGCACCUUCCUCAAACAACCAAACCACCCAUUCUCAAAAAAUAAACCCACUCCUUUUAACUUAUAAACGAUGGAAUCCAACUUCAGCUCCAAAGUCGUUGCCUUCAUCCGGUCUCGUUGCCUUCAUCCGGUCCAAACACACAUUUACCUCCUUCAGCUCCUUCCCCAAUUGCACCUUUGCAACACCCUGCACUUUCGGGCUAAAGUUAAACUGUCUUUCCUACAUUUAUGAAUUUGAACUGUAAUACUCUAUACUAUUCUUAGCUUAAUUCAUCAUUUAUUUGCAUGCUUAAGGGGCUUAAGGCACAAAAUUUUCACUAAGUGUUCGGAGUUUAGUUAUCUUCAAGACCUCUAAACUUUGAGGAUUUCUAUUUUGAUCUUUCCGACCCUGAGACAAUAGUUUUUGAGUUAAUUAAUGUUCAGGGAUGCAAGAAGUAUGCCUCGGAAGAGUUUUGGAUUUUUCGGACUAGGUUUGGGUCACGUUUGGAUCACGAAUCCAGCAAGUCACCGCGAUAGGGCGACAUCGUGGUGACAUUCCCAUUGGCACGUACAUCGCAUCGCAGUGAAGGUGUUUUCAUCCAGUUCUUGAUUUAUAAUUUGAAUGAAUGGGUCAUGAUCUUUAUCCUAGUGUGUGAAGAGCUUAUUAGGUGAAAAUGUUCAUAGAAAUCACUUAUUAGAGAAAAGUUGAGGUAAGAGCCUUGGAUUCGUCCAAAGUUUGGUAUUCGAUUCUACAAGGGUCAACUUCAAACGUGUAUAACUUUUGAUAUAUGUAGAAUUUUUCAGCUAAAGACCCACCAAAUUGUAGAUAAUUUAGUCAACUUUCCAACGAUACCUAUUUUGCCUUAAUCUAAUACCUGAACAAAAAUUUAUGACCAUUUUCGUUUGAACUAGUAAGCCAUUGCGAUAAGACUGCGUCGCGGUGGGCAUGCAAAACACAUUUAUGGAUUUAAAAAUGUCAGAAGGACAAUUAGGUAUUUUUUCCCUCAACCCAAUCGUUCAUAACAUGACUUGGGGCAUCAGUUUGGGCAUUAUUUUCUCUUCUUCUCCAUUUCACUCUCAAGAAAAACCCUCCCUCUUCCAAAGAACAAAUUCAAUCCUUUUCCCCUAAGUAAUUUAGAAUUCAAGCUUUUCAAGAUUAAGAUUCUUCAAGAAAGCAUCAAAAUUAGGGUUCAUCCUUCAAGUUAAGAAACUUGAGGUUCGUGGGGCUAUCCUAAAUUCUAUGGGCAUGAAUUCAUUGUUUUACUAAGUUUUGAAGUAUGUUAUUAUGUUUAUAAAAAGGGUUUUGAAAAAUCGUCUUGAAUAGCCAAACUAUUAACCCAUUUCAAUGAUAUAGUGUUCUGGCAUUGAGGCUUCUUUUCUUGGAUUGAAUUAUGUUUGCAUAUAUAUAUGCAUUUUCAAUCUUGCAAUUUGAAUUGGGAGCAUAAAUAAUGAAACUCCCUCUCUUGUUAUGAUACCUCUUGAUUUAAUAUAUUAAGGGUUAUUCAAUUGUAUGUUUAGAAGCAUGCGAUAAAUGCUUUAAUAUUAUUUAUGGACUUGAUAUUGGUUAUGAAUUGAAGAGAGGGUGUUUUAUUGUUUAUAAAUGUUCAAUGUGAUAAUUGAAAGAAUUGCACGGGUUGUUAUGAAGAAGUUGACCAUCAUUUGUUAAGGUGUUGAAAAGGGAAAAUCUUUGCAUAAGUUUUCACAUAUUUUGAAGUACGAAUUCUCUUGCAUUGUUUAAAUGUUUUGGUAGUCAUUAAUAUGUUUUGAAAUAAGAAGGGUAGUAGAGAUGUUGUGGUAUGAAUGAAGGACUUUCAAGUCUGGGUAUGACGAUACCCUGUUAUGAUGUACCCUAAACUGAAUAAGAAAGAAAUGGAUUAUAUGAAGAAGUCAUGUUUUUAAAAGUCUAAAAUUGGUCUUAGGAGAGUUAGAUGGUUACCCGAAGAAGGCACGAGUUUAGAUAACUCAUUGACCAAAACUGUGAUUUGCUGACACGGGUUCAUGGUGCCUUGAAAUAGGGAUUGUAUACUGGUGACGGCCCUAUGGCGUAGUAGAGAUGUAGAGAAUCCAACCCUUGAGGCAAAGUUGGGCCGGAGGCUUGGUCGCUGAGUCAAGGGUGGAUUCCCUAUAGCCUGUGGAGUUACAGAUUAAGGUGUACCAUCUAGCUCAGAAGAGAAACAAAGAGUAGAGUCAUGAUACCAAGAAAGUUUUUUGAAAUUUAUCAAAUUAUGCCCAUGUAUUUUCGAUUUCUUAAUGCUGACAUGCUUUUAUGAAAUUCUCUCACCUAUGUCAUAUAAAAAUAUAUUUUGUUUUUGGAUUGUUCUACGUACCAGUACCUUGUGAAUUGACCCCUAUAUUCCAGGUUCUGCAGUAUAGUUCCAUGGUCUAUCACAUCAGUAUAACACUUGGGAUAUGACAGAAAUGGGGUCAUUUAGAGGAACAAGUUUAUAUGAGACAACCUCCUGGCUUUGAGCAUCCCACUUUGUCUAAUCAUGUCUGCAAACUUAACAAAGCCAUCCACAAUCUCAAACAGGAACCUAGAGUCCAUGGUGUUCAACAAAUUAUCAAUGCCCAUACUCAACGUUUCUCUAUCAAGGACCUUGGCCACUCAAACUACUUUUUGGGUGUUGAGGUUUUGUCGAUCAAGGUGGCCUACUAUUGUCUUAACAGAAGUAUAUAGAAGACCUUCUCUGGGAAGCCAUUUUGCAAGAUAGCAAAGGAGUUCCCACUCCUAUGUCCAUCUCUAUUGUUCUUAGUGUAAAUCAGGUUGAUCCUAUUGUUGAUGGCUCUUCCUUUCAAAAAAUUGUUGGCAAGCUACAAUAUUUGUCCUUUACUAGACCAGACAUCACAUUUAUAGUAAAUAAACUCCCCCAGUUUAUGCAUUGUCUUCAAGCUAAUCAUUGGAAGGCUGUUAAUCAUGCUUGGAGCAUUGGCUCAAAAUCGUACAAUGAAAUUAUAAAACUGGAGAGCAUUGACUCUAAAUCUUUG